rnacentral:rRNA from 1 species
AUGGCAUCAUCUGCUACCAUCAGUUCAGUUGGCGCUCAGGCUGCUCUGGUUUCAAAGCCAAGGAAUCAUGGCAUCGGUGGCUUAAAGGCGUCCUCAUCAAUUAACUUCGAAUUGGGAUCCUCGUUCCUGGGCAAGACUGGGUCUCUUCGGGCAUCUGUUACCACAAGGGUUGUGCCCAAGGCGAAGUCUGGGGCUCGGAUACUACCGGAGGCAUCUUACAAAGUGGCGGUACUUGGUGCUGCUGGGGGCAUCGGCCAACCAUUGGGCCUGCUGAUCAAGAUGUCUCCUCUGGUCUCGGAGCUGCGACUGUACGAUAUUGCAAAUGUCAAGGGAGUCGCUGCUGAUCUCAGCCACUGCAACACACCUUCUCAGGUCAUGGACUUCACUGGCCCAGCGGAAUUAGCCAGCUGCUUGAAAGGUGUGGAUGUUGUUGUCAUCCCCGCCGGGGUCCCUAGAAAGCCUGGGAUGACUCGUGAUGAUCUUUUCAACAUCAAUGCGGGCAUCGUCAAGUCACUUAUCGAGGCUGUUGCAGACAAUUGCCCUGAUGCCUUUAUCCAUAUUAUCAGCAACCCAGUCAACUCCACAGUGCCGAUUGCUGCUGAGAUUCUGAAACAGAAGGGUGUCUACAAUCCCAAGAAGCUUUUUGGGGUUUCCACCCUAGAUGUUGUCCGAGCUAACACAUUCGUAGCUCAGAAGAAGGGCCUCAAGCUCAUUGAUGUUGAUGUCCCAGUUGUUGGUGGUCAUGCUGGAAUUACAAUCCUGCCUUUGUUGUCAAAGACGAGGCCAUCUGUCACCUUCACGGAUGAGGAAACUGAACAGCUGGCGAAGAGGAUACAGAACGCUGGGACAGAGGUGGUGGAGGCGAAAGCGGGUGCUGGAUCUGCUACCCUGUCCAUGGCUUAUGCUGCUGCCAGAUUUGUUGAGUCUUCACUCCGUGCACUGGCUGGUGAUCCAGAUGUUUAUGAGUGCACGUAUGUUCAGUCUGAGUUAACUGAGCUGCCAUUCUUUGCGUCCAGAGUUAAGAUUGGCAAGAAUGGUGUUGAGUCCAUCAUUUCUUUGGACCUGGAGGGAAUAACUGAGUACGAGGCCAAUGCACUCGAGGCAUUGAAGCCUGAGCUGAAGGCCAGCAUCGAGAAGGGCAUCGAGUUUGCGCACAAACAGCAGGGAGCCGCCGCAUCUGUUUGA